rnacentral:rRNA from 1 species
AUUGAACGCUGGCGGCAGGCCUAACACAUGCAAGUCGAGCGGAGCGGCGGACGGGUGAGUAAUGCCUAGGAAUCUGCCUGGUGGUGGGGGAUAACGUCCGGAAACGGGCGCUAAUACCGCAUACGAUCAGAUGAACCCAGAGGGGAUUGGCUAGUAGGUAAGGUAACGGCUUACCUAGGCGACGAUCCCUAGCUGGUCUGAGAGGAUGAUCAGCCACACUGGGACUGAGACACGGCCCAGACUCCGACGGGAGGCAGCAGUUGGGAAUCUUGCACAAUGGGCGCAAGUCUGACGCAGCCAUGCCGCGUGUGUGAAGAAGGCCUUCGGGUUGUAAAGUACUGUCAGUCGGGAGGCGUUACCUACAGAAGAAGCCCCGGCUAACUCCGUGCCAGCAGCCGCGGUAAUAC